AAAUUAAUUUUAUUUCCUUGUUUGGGUCUGGAAAUAUUUGGAAGUUACAUGGAGGAUUUAAUGUGAUUUUUGAUGACCCAUUUGUUUGACUUAUUAUUUUAAAAUAUCAAAAUCAAGAGAAAUAAACAUGCAAAAGUGCUAAUGAAUCAAAUACUCUCUUUUUUUUUUUUUGAUAAAUCAAAAACUCUCUUUUAUUGAAGUUGUGAUCAUUGUAUUUGAGGGUUUUGUGAUCUAUUGCAUGUAAUUUUUUGACAACACUGUUUCCUUUUUAUGAUGUUAUGUACCUUUUUCCACCCAUUUUAGUGUCCUAUUCUAAUUACUAAUUACUGAAACAGAGUAUUUAGUAACUUACAAACAGUUAUUGACCUAUUAAUGCCAGUUCCCUUUCUAGCAUAUCCGUGUUGAUCCAAUAGGUAUGGAAUCAUUUAAUCAUGAUAUUAGUCAUGAAGUUCCGAAGAGUUUUCUUACAAAGACAUAUUAGUCACAAAUUUGAGAACUUUAGACCGGAAAUAAUUUAUAUUUUGAGUUCAGACUCUUUUGAGAAAUGGCAAUGGCAAUGUGGUAUUCAAUGAUUUUCUUCUCUAUCUCUCUGGGAAGUUGACUUCAGAGUAACUGGUUUUUGACAGUGUUAUAGCAGAUAUGUUAAUGAUGGGAGACCGUUCUGGCAAUAUAUUGUCAGCUCUUCAACUGGCUGUUCAGAUUCUCAAUACUUCGAGGAGUUGUACAACUAUUAUACCACUGAAAAGUUAGCUUGGUUUGCAGCAUUGAUUGGUUACCAUUUUUAACUGAUUUACUUUCUAUUGAAUGCAAAUCUUCAUAUUUUUCUUGGAAUGAAUAGUGAGACAAAUACCUCCAUAAUGCUAAUCAAACCUUAUCUGCUAUGUCAUUUGAGUCUUAAAUUGCAACUGUUGAUCACAAUACCAUCUGAGUUCUAAGUAUAUUUUCAUUUGUUUCUAUCCAAAGGCGUGGCACCUCUGUGAUCCGGAUGCUGAAAAAGUAUUCAAGGCAAUUAGAAGUGAAGGCAUGAAAUUGGCUGUUGUGUCAAACUUUGACACUCAAUUAAGACCUCUCUUGCAGGCUCUGAAUUGCGAUCACUGGUUUGAUGCUAUGCCAGUCUCAGCUGAAGUGUCAUUUUGUUUUUCCCCUUUUGUUAUUUUAUUUAUUUAUUUAUUAUUUUAUUUAUUUAUUUUUGCCAUUGUUCAAUCUCUCGCUUGCUCUCUCUCUCAAACAGGUUGAAGCAGAGAAGCCAAAUCCCACCAUAUUUCUAAGCUUGUGAGUUAUUGCGAGUAGAACGGAGGAUGCUGUUCAUGUAGGGGAUGAUCAUAGAAAUGAUAUAUGGGGUGCCAGAGAUACAGGUUGUGAUGCUUGGCUCUGGAAAUGAUAUAUGGAAUUCAUGGAGUCAAUAAUCUAUGAAUUUCAUCAUUUCAUAAGGAUGAAUAAAAUGUUACUUACA